AAUAGAAAAAUAAAACGUGAUCU
rnacentral:snRNA from 1 species